UGCCCUUCACCCUUGCAUUUGUCUGACUGUACCCCCGUGGGGAUUCUGCCCUGCUCACCCGCAGUGCUUCUCUUGGUGGUGCAGAUUCGUGGCUGUUGGUGUGGAGCGUGGCUGGCACUGCUCAGAGUGCCUGAGAGGAAGGAUAGGCACCUUGUGUGGUCUUGCAGACGUGCCAAGGCUGCUAUGCAGCUCUGACUGCAUGGGGGCUGAGGAGGGGGCUUGCAGUGGUGGCCACAGCCAGCAAGGGGCCUUUACUGAAGAGAAAUGAGGAUUCUUGCAUCUAGGUUCAGGUCCAUGGUGGAACAGACCAGACUCAGUGGGGCCCUGAGUUCAUCCUGGUCUGAGAGCAGUGCUGCUUGGGAAUGUAUCAGAAGAUCCAGGACUGGGAACUUCCAUGCUGCCUCCAGCAGGAAAGAAGGUGCCUGUUUCAGAAGCUGACUUUCGAAAAGCUUCAGUGACCAUCCUUCUCUCUUGGUUGAGCUGUGUGAGUGUACCCGGAGAAAUGCGAGAAGCAGAAUUGCUAACUUGGAGAGUCAGGGAGACAGUUGAGGUCUCGUGCUGCUGUGUCCCAGGCUUUCUAACCAGCCUCACCCCCUUAGGAGGUCAUCUUGUGAAGUCCAAGGAACUGUUUCCACUUCUGAGUGUGUGCUUGUGGUUCCCCUGUAUUUCUUGAAGGCCAUUCUGAUAACAGUCAUCUGACUUUCUGGUCCCAAACCUCUGAUGCUGUAUUUUUACUGAAGGACAUCAUCUUUUUGACUUGUGGGCUCCUCCACUCAGCCUUACCCACUCCUGACUUCUCUAUCCUUCCAUGCCUGUGGUCACGGAGCAACUUUAGCCCUGGCUGGCUGGGAAGCCAGUAGGUAAGUCUUGAGACUCCUUUCUGAGAAGUGCACAGGGAUUCGUUGAGCACCUCACCCAGCACCAGGCACCUUGGUGACCAUGUCAAGUGGAGCACACUAAUCAGCUUCCCUGCUACCCCUGCUGACCUGGAACCAGUCUCAGAGCAGUCUAUCCUCUUCCCACUGCCUCAUGCUGCUAAAGACAGGUGGAUCCUCAGCUUACACCCAGUUAGAAGGAUGCUCGAAGCCUCGUGCAGGCUGCAAGGGACCACUUAGCACUGGUGACUAUGUCACUCAGCUGAAUUCCAGUUGUCCAGUUCCCAGAAACUCCCCAAAGUGAGUCUCUGGGUUCAAUCACGCAAUCACGUUGUAUCCUGCUUCCUGUGGGCUGGCCCUGCAGGGCCAGGAGUGUGGCCGAGGUGCCUAGCUGAUGACAGUAGGCAGAAGGAUUCAUUCAUUGACUCUCAGCUUUUGCAUGUAU